GAGAAGAGCAUGAUGGAGGGGCUGGGUAGAGGGGGAGCAUCAUGGAGGGGCUGGGGAGGGGGGAGAGCACCUCAUGAUGGAGGGGGGAGCGUCAUGGAGGGGUGGGGGAGCACCCCCCUCCCCAGCCCCUCCAUGAUGCUCCCCCUCUACCCAGCCCCUCCAUCAUGCUCUUCUCC
rnacentral:miRNA from 1 species